rnacentral:rRNA from 1 species
AUACAGGGUGACAGCCCCGUACACAAAAAUGCACAUGCUGUGAGCUCGAUGAGUAGGGCGGGACACGUGGUAUCCUGUCUGAAUAUGGGGGGACCAUCCUCCAAGGCUAAAUACUCCUGACUGACCGAUAGUGAACCAGUACCGUGAGGGAAAGGCGAAAAGAACCCCGGCGAGGGGAGUGAAAAAGAACCUGAAACCGUGUACGUACAAGCAGUGGGAGCACAGAGCAAUCUGUGUGACUGCGUACCUUUUGUAUAAUGGGUCAGCGACUUAUAUUCUGUAGCAAGGUUAACCGAAUAGGGGAGCCGAAGGGAAACCGAGUCUUAACUGGGCGUUAAGUUGCAGGGUAUAGACCCGAAACCCGGUGAUCUAGCCAUGGGCAGGUUGAAGGUUGGGUAACACUAACUGGAGGACCGAACCGACUAAUGUUGAAAAAUUAGCGGAUGACUUGUGGCUGGGGGUGAAAGGCCAAUCAAACCGGGAGAUAGCUGGUUCUCCCCGAAAGCUAUUUAGGUAGCGCCUCGUGAAUUCAUCUCCGGGGGUAGAGCACUGUUUCGGCAAGGGGGUCAUCCCGA